UACGUAGGGAGCAAGCGUUGUCCGGAAUCAUUGGGCGUAAAGCGCGCGUAGGUGGCUUCGUAAGUCCGUUGUGAAAGUCAAAGGCUCAACCUUUGAAAGCCGAUGGAUACUGCGGAGCUAGAGUACGGAAGAGGCGAGUGGAAUUCCUGGUGUAGCGGUGGAAUGCGCAGAUAUCAGGAGGAACACCAAUAGCGAAGGCGGCUCACUGGCCCGAUACUGACGCUGAGGCACGAAAGCGUGGGGAGCAAACAGG
rnacentral:rRNA from 1 species